ensembl:lncRNA
AGUUCUUACAAACUUUCCUUCUCUAGAGGUGAGUUCUAGUUAUCUACCCCAAAGAAAUAGAAGAGAGGAGAAAGAUGAGAGAAGAGCCUAUGGAUCAGCAACAGAAAAUGAGGAGGAGAAGGAAAGCCUUGUACAAACCCUGAGCAUAACUGGUCAGGUUUAUUGCUCUGAGAGACAUUACCUUUUGCUGACUCCAGCAUAUGGCCAACAGGAGCUAUGUCAGCAGCUGAGAACAAAGCAAGUCCUGGAGCAAACUGGAA